rnacentral:lncRNA from 1 species
AAGCUUCUGCUACUUCUCCUUUCCUUCCGUACGUAUACUCCAACACAAAAUUUCUGUAUUCCAAUACAAGUAAAUAUUCCCCUAGAAAAGUAAAAGUAAAAGAGGGAAACAUUAUAGUAUUAUCUCCAAGAGAGUUCAUGAACUGGUGGACCAGUAGGAAGACAUUUACUGUUAAGACAAGCAGCCCAAGUAUCAAAGCAACCGACUCCAGGAGUAGUAGAGCAGCAGGAACAAUUUAAACCCAUAUAAUUGAAGGGUACACAUCCUUUAGUAGAAGAGUUACUCUUUGGAAUCACAGGGAUCGGGCCAUCUUGAGGUCUACAAGGGUCUUUUGCACCUGCCAUGUCAUAUAUAUGAAACUGUAUUGAUUAUUUUGUUAACAUACAAUAAAAGGUAACUAUAGAAAAGUGGUCGGAUUUUUGAAGGAAUGUUGUUCCUUUUUUAGCCUUCUUGUUUCCUUUUCAAGAAAUACCAGGAGAAUCGUGUUAGUCAAGAUAAGAUAAUAUUCUUGGUCAUCACAGAAUCAUUCAAUUUAGAGACUUGACCUUUUAUUUUUCUUCUGAUUUGACCAGAUGUGAGAAUGAUGGUCCAUUUAAAUAACCAAAAUUAAGAAUUAAGCUCUAUCUAUUCCUUUUUUCGGUGAAAGAAUUUUAUAAUACAUAAACGGCUCAAUGCUCAUAAAAACAACAAAAAUCAAACAAAAAGGUGCAAUUGUGUGUGAAAGAAUCUAUUUUUUUUCUUCUUUUUAAGCCUAGCAACGUCGUAACAUUAAAAAUGCAAAAAAAAGAAGAAGAAGAAAUUGGAGAGUUUUAUUUUGAUUCUAUUCUCUAUAGGGGUUUUAAAUCAAACCAAAAUACACACUAACAAAGAAGUACGUCUUUGUGCAAAGCAUUUUAAGCCUUACCAAAAUGGACCUCAAAACAAAACAUGUAUACCUUCGUAUAGAGCCAGAAAAGUGAAAAAUACACAGGAAAGCACAAAGAAACGAAGGGCCAUGUUGAAUUGGUG